rnacentral:rRNA from 1 species
GAUGAACGCUGGCGGCGUGCCUAAUACAUGCAAGUCGAGCGAACAGACGAGGAGCUUGCUCCUCUGACGUUAUCGGCGGACGGGUGAGUAACACGUGGAUAACCUAUCUAUAAGACUGGGAUAACUUCGGGAAACCGGAGCUAAUACCGGAUAAUAUAUUGAACCGCAUGGUUCAAUAGUGAAAGACGGUUUUGCUGUCACUUAUAGAUGGAUCCGCGCCGCAUUAGCUAGUUGUUAAGGUAACGGCUUACCAAGGCAACGAUGCGUAGCCGACCUGAGAGGGUGAGCGGCCACACUGGCACUGAGACACGGUCCAGACUCCGACGGGAGGCAGCAGUAGGGAAUCUUCCGCAAUGGGCGAAAGCUUGACGGAGCAACGCCGCGUGAGUGAUGAAGGUCUUCGGAUCGUAAAACUCUGUUAUUAGGGAAGAACAAAUGUGUAAGUAACUAUGCACGUCUUGACGGUACCUAAUCAGAAAGCCACGGCUAACUACGUG